rnacentral:rRNA from 1 species
UAAGCGGAGGAAAAGAAACUACAAGGAUUCCCCUAGUAACUGCGAGUGAAGCGGGAAAAGCUCAAAUUUAAAAUCUGGCGUGCCUUUGGCCGUNCGAGUUGUAGUCUGGAGAAGUGUUUUCUGUGCUGGACCGUGUACAAGUCCCUUGGAACAGGGCGUCAUAGAGGGUGAGAAUCCCGUCUUUGACACGGACUACCAGUGCUCUGUGAUGCGCUCUCAAAGAGUCGAGUUGUUUGGGAAUGCAGCUCAAAAUGGGUGGUAAAUUCCAUCUAAAGCUAAAUAUAGGCGAGAGACCGAUAGCGAACAAGUACCGUGAGGGAAAGAUGAAAAGCACUUUGGAAAGAGAGUUAAACAGUACGUGAAAUUGCUGAAAGGGAAACGCUUGAAGUCAGUCGCGUCUGCCAGGACUCAGCCUUGCUUUUUUGCUUGGUGCACUUUCUGGUAGAUGGGCCAGCAUCAAUUUUGACCGUCAGAAAAAGUUGGAGGGAAUGUGGCACCUUUCGAGGUGUGUUAUAGCCUUUCAUCACAUAUGACGGUUGGGAUUGAGGACCGCAGCACGCCUUUAUGGCCGGGGCUUUGCUCACGUAACGUGCUUAGGAUGCUGGCUUAAUGGCUUUAAGCGACC